AAGCUCGUAGUUGAAUUUCGGGAUCAAUAUGUUGGUCGUGCCUUUGGUACGUACUGGUAUUAUUGGUUUCUCCUUUCUGAUGAAUCACGAUGUCAUUAAUUUGGUGUCAUGGGGAAUCAGGACUGUUACUUUGAAAAAAUUAGAGUGUUUAAAGCAGGCUUACGCUUGAAUACAUUAGCAUGGAAUAAUGAAAUAGGACGUUUAAUUCUAUUUUGUUGGUUUCUAGGAUUGACGUAAUGAUUAAUAGGGAUAGUUGGG
rnacentral:rRNA from 1 species